rnacentral:rRNA from 1 species
GACGAACGCUGGCGACGUGCCUAAUACAUGCAAGUCGAGCGGACGAAUCGAAAGCUUGCUUUUGAUUCGUUAGCGGCGGACGGGUGAGUAACACGUGGGCAACCUGCCCUGUAGACGGGGAUAACACCGAGAAAUCGGUGCUAAUACCGGAUAACACGAAAUGUCGCAUGACGUUUCGUUGAAAGACGGCGCAAGCUGUCGCUACAGGAUGGGCCCGCGGCGCAUUAGCAAGUUGGUGAGGUAACGGAUCACCAAGGCGACGAUGCGUAGCCGACCUGAGAGGGUGAUCGGCCACACUGGGACUGAGACACGGCCCAGACUCCUACGGGAGGCAGCAGUAGGGAAUCUUCCGCAAUGGACGAAAGUCUGACGGAGCAACGCCGCGUGAGCGAAGAAGGCCUUCGGGUCGUAAAGCUCUGUUGUUAGGGAAGAACAAGUAACGCAGUAACUGGCGUUACCGUGACGGUACCUAACGAGAAAGCCACGGCUAACUACGUGCCAGCCGCCGCCGUAA